UUGCAAAAAUAUUGUUUCUCUGUGCUAAUUUGCUUUCUUUUAUUCGACAGUUCAACUUCGGGUGGGCUGUUCCCUCCGGCAGCAUUUGGACCUUUCAGUCCGACAUCUCAGAGUUCAACGAUUUGAGCGUCUGUUAUAUGUAUACAUUGGCUGUAUCACUAUAAGAAAACGGACAACUUGCGGAGGUUUUAUUGAGGAGGUUUUCACUAUCUCCACAAAUUGUAUCAAUUUGGGGAGGUUCCUUUAAGUGACACAAAUAAGCCUCUGCUACCCUAAAAUAAAAAAAGAGCGCCUUUAUUUCCGCCCACAUUUUCCCCUUUCCCUCCUUUUCCCAAACCCUUAACGCCUUUAACCCCUUUAUCUAGAAACUUCCGCCUUUAACACCUCUUCCCCCCCUCCACUUUUAGGAUUCAUCCAGUUUUGUAAAUUGGAUCUGGUAAAUCGAUGGCUGAGACUAAGACAGGGAUAAAGCCAGGACGAGGAAAAAUUUGUCUUUCUACACAUAAGAAACUGUAUUGGGAAAAUUGAGUUUACAUAGUGAAGUGAUUGGAAGAUGAUGUGUCAUGACACGGAGGCUGGUCAAAGAGUGAUGAUUAGCAAAAGAGGCACGAGUUGCAAUAAAUACGAGCAGAGGUAUAAGUAGAGGCACGAGCAGUUAUUCAAAAGACUCAGCGCUCGUACCUAUUUAUACCCAAAAAUCAAGAAGAAUGAAUCUGACAGCACAAGAGAGUACAGAUACAAUAAUUAAUAAGCAUUAAAUACUAAAAACAUUAGAGAAUCUGAUUAAAUUACAAUGAUUAUGUAAUGUAGCAUUUAAUGCCUUUAAUUGUCUAUAGUGGCCUUAUUAUGACAAAGACAAAACGUAUAUCUUUGAGAUAGCUAUAAAAAGGAGAGGAUGAAUCAUUUGUAAGGACAUAAUAGAUCAUCUGAAUACACUGGUUUACUUUGUUUUCUUCUGCUUA